rnacentral:rRNA from 1 species
AGAGUUUGAUCAUGGCUCAGGAUGAACGCUAGCUACAGGCUUAACACAUGCAAGUCGAGGGGAAACGACAUCGAAAGCUUGCUUUUGAUGGGCGUCGACCGGCGCACGGGUGAGUAACGCGUAUCCAACCUGCCCAUCACUUGGGGAUAACCUUGCGAAAGUAAGACUAAUACCCAAUGACGUCUCUAGAAGACAUCUGAAAGAGAUUAAAGAUUUACCGGUGAUGGAUGGGGAUGCGUCUGAUUAGCUUGUUGGCGGGGUAACGCCACAAGGCGACGAUCAGUAGGGGUUCUGAGAGGAAAGUCCCCCANAUUGGAACUGAGACACGGUCCAAACUCCUACGGGAGGCA